UACGGAGGAUGCAAGCGUUAUCCGGAUUCAUUGGGUUUAAAGGGUGCGUAGGCGGCUUUUUAAGUCAGUGGUGAAAUCCUGCCGCUUAACGGUAGAAUUGCCAUUGAUACUGCAGAUCUUGAGUACAUUUGAGGUGGGCGGAAUGAGUAGUGUAGCGGUGAAAUGCUUAGAUAUUACUCAGAACACCAAUUGCGAAGGCAGCUCACUAAACUGUAACUGACGCUGAGGCACGAAAGCAUGGGGAGCGAACGGG
rnacentral:rRNA from 1 species